UACAGAGGUCUCAAGCGUUGUUCGGAUUCAUUGGGCGUAAAGGGUGCGUAGGUGGCGCCGUAAGUCGGGUGUGAAAUUUCGGAGCUUAACUCCGAAACUGCAUUCGAUACUGCGGUGCUUGAGGACUGGAGAGGAGACUGGAAUUCCUGGUGUAGCGGUGAAAUGCGCAGAUAUCAGGAGGAACACCGAUGGCGAAGGCAGGUCUCUGGGCCAUUACUGACACUGAGAAGCGAAAGCAUGGGGAGCGAACAGG
rnacentral:rRNA from 1 species